rnacentral:rRNA from 1 species
AGAUUAAGUUAUUAAGGGCGCACGGUGGAUGCCUUGGCACUAGAAGCCGAUGAAGGACGUUACUAACGACGAUAUGCUUUGGGGAGCUGUAAGUAAGCUUUGAUCCAGAGAUUUCCGAAUGGGGAAACCCAGCAUGAGUUAUGUCAUGUUAUCGAUAUGUGAAUACAUAGCAUAUCAGAAGGCACACCCGGAGAACUGAAACAUCUUAGUACCCGGAGGAAGAGAAAGAAAAUUCGAUUCCCUUAGUAGCGGCGAGCGAAACGGGAAGAGCCCAAACCAACAAGCUUGCUUGUUGGGGUUGUAGGACACUCUAUACGGAGUUACAAAGGACGACAUUAGACGAAUCAUCUGGAAAGAUGAAUCAAAGAAGGUAAUAAUCCUGUAGUCGAAAAUGUUGUCUCUCUUGAGUGGAUCCUGAGUACGACGGAGCACGUGAAAUUCCGUCGGAAUCUGGGAGGACCAUCUCCUAAGGCUAAAUACUCUCUAGUGACCGAUAGUGAACCAGUACCGUGAGGGAAAGGUGAAAAGCACCCCGGAAGGGGAGUGAAAUAGAACCUGAAACCGUGUGCUUACAAGUAGUCAGAGCCCGUUAAUGGGUGAUGGCGUGCCUUUUGUAGAAUGAACCGGCGAGUUACGAUUUGAUGCAAGGUUAAGCAGUAAAUGUGGAGCCGUAGCGAAAGCGAGUCUGAAUAGGGCGUUUAGUAUUUGGUCGUAGACCCGAAACCAGGUGAUCUACCCUUGGUCAGGUUGAAGUUCAGGUAACACUGAAUGGAGGACCGAACCGACUUACGUUGAAAAGUGAGCGGAUGAACUGAGGGUAGCGGAGAAAUUCCAAUCGAACCUGGAGAUAGCUGGUUCUCUCCGAAAUAGCUUUAGGGCUAGCCUCAAGUGAUGAUUAUUGGAGGUAGAGCACUGUUUGGACGAGGGGCCCCUCUCGGGUUACCGAAUUCAGACAAACUCCGAAUGCCAAUUAAUUUAACUUGGGAGUCAGAACAUGGGUGAUAAGGUCCGUGUUCGAAAGGGAAACAGCCCAGACCACCAGCUAAGGUCCCAAAAUAUAUGUUAAGUGGAAAAGGAUGUGGCGUUGCCCAGACAACUAGGAUGUUGGCUUAGAAGCAGCCAUCAUUUAAAGAGUGCGUAAUAGCUCACUAGUCGAGUGACACUGCGCCGAAAAUGUACCGGGGCUAAACAUAUUACCGAAGCUGUGGAUUGUCCUUUGGACAAUGGUAGGAGAGCGUUCUAAGGGCGUUGAAGCAUGAUCGUAAGGACAUGUGGAGCGCUUAGAAGUGAGAAUGCCGGUGUGAGUAGCGAAAGACGGGUGAGAAUCCCGUCCACCGAUUGACUAAGGUUUCCAGAGGAAGGCUCGUCCGCUCUGGGUUAGUCGGGUCCUAAGCUGAGGCCGACAGGCGUAGGCGAUGGAUAACAGGUUGAUAUUCCUGUACCACCUAUAAUCGUUUUAAUCGAUGGGGGGACGCAGUAGGAUAGGCGAAGCGUGCGAUUGGAUUGCACGUCUAAGCAGUAAGGCUGAGUAUUAGGCAAAUCCGGUACUCGUUAAGGCUGAGCUGUGAUGGGGAGAAGACAUUGAGUCUUCGAGUCGUUGAUUUCACACUGCCGAGAAAAGCCUCUAGAUAGAAAAUAGGUGCCCGUACCGCAAACCGACACAGGUAGUCAAGAUGAGAAUUCUAAGGUGAGCGAGCGAACUCUCGUUAAGGAACUCGGCAAAAUGACCCCGUAACUUCGGGAGAAGGGGUGCUCUUUAGGGUUAACGCCCAGAAGAGCCGCAGUGAAUAGGCCCAAGCGACUGUUUAUCAAAAACACAGGUCUCUGCUAAACCGUAAGGUGAUGUAUAGGGGCUGACGCCUGCCCGGUGCUGGAAGGUUAAGAGGAGUGGUUAGCUUCUGCGAAGCUACGAAUCGAAGCCCCAGUAAACGGCGGCCGUAACUAUAACGGUCCUAAGGUAGCGAAAUUCCUUGUCGGGUAAGUUCCGACCCGCACGAAAGGCGUAACGA